rfam:Schistosoma margrebowiei strain Zambia genome assembly, scaffold: SMRZ_contig0000382
AUCCAGCUGACGAGUGUCAAAUAGGACGAAACGCGCGUCAGGAAU